GGUAAAAUGGCUGAAGUUUAGGUGAUAAAUUGUAAAUUUAUUAAUGAAUAUUAUUCUUUUACCA
rnacentral:tRNA from 1 species